rnacentral:rRNA from 1 species
AAACUUGAGAGUUUGAUCCUGGCUCAGAACGAACGCUGGCGGCAUGCCUAACACAUGCAAGUCGAACGAAGGCUUCGGCCUUAGUGGCGCACGGGUGCGUAACACGUGGGAAUCUGCCCUUUGCUUCGGAAUAACAGUUAGAAAUGACUGCUAAUACCGAAUAAUGUCGCAAGACCAAAGAUUUAUCGGCAAAGGAUGAGCCCGCGUAGGAUUAGCUAGUUGGUGGGGUAAAGGCUCACCAAGGCGACGAUCCUUAGCUGGUCUGAGAGGAUGAUCAGCCACACUGGGACUGAGACACGGCCCA